AUUGAACGCUGGCGGCAUGCCUUACACAUGCAAGUCGAACGGCAGCACGGACUUCGGUCUGGUGGCGAGUGGCGAACGGGUGAGUAAUGCAUCGGAACGUGCCAUUGAGUGGGGGAUAACGUAGCGAAAGUUGCGCUAAUACCGCAUAUUCUGUGAGCAGGAAAGCAGGGGACCGCAAGGCCUUGCGCUCUUUGAGCGGCCGAUGUCAGAUUAGCUAGUUGGUGAGGUAAAGGCUUACCAAGGCGACGAUCUGUAGCGGGUCUGAGAGGAUGAUCCGCCACACUGGAACUGAGACACGGUCCAGACUCCUACGGGAGGCAGCAGUGGGGAAUUUUGGACAAUGGGGGGCAACCCUGAUCCAGCCAUGCCGCGUGAGUGAAGAAGGCCUCGG
rnacentral:rRNA from 1 species